UAAGACCUUGCGCUUUUUGAGCGGCCGAUGCCUGAUUAGCUUGUUGGUGGGGUAAAGGCUUACCAAGGCAACGAUCAGUAGCUGGUCUGAGAGGACGACCAGCCACACUGGGACUGAGACACGGCCCAGACUCCUACGGGAGGCAGCAGUGGGGAAUUUUGGACAAUGGGCGAAAGCCUGAUCCAGCCAUGCCGCGUGAGUGAAGAAGGCCUUCGGGUUGUAAAGCUCUUUCGGUCAGGAAGAAAUAGUUGCGGCUAAUAUCUGCAACAAAUGACGGUACCGACAUAAGAAGCACCGGCUAACUACGUGCCAGCCGCGGUAAUACGUAGGGUGCAAGCGUUAAUCGGAAUUAUUGGGCGUAAGGGGUGCGCAGGUGGUUAUAUAAGUCAGAUGUGAAAUCCCUGGGCUUAACCUAGAACU
rnacentral:rRNA from 1 species